rnacentral:tRNA from 1 species
AGCGGGGUGGGGUAGCUAGGAGAUCCCGUCGGGCUCAUAACCCGGAGAUCGAUGGUUCAAAAGGGUCCGAGGCCGUCCCUCGGCC